rnacentral:rRNA from 1 species
AUUGAACGCUGGCGGCAGGCCUAACACAUGCAAGUCGAACGGUAACAGGAAACAGCUUGCUGUUUCGCUGACGAGUGGCGGACGGGUGAGUAAUGUCUGGGAAACUGCCUGGUGGAGGGGGAUAACUACUGGAAACGGUAGCUAAUACCGCAUAACGUCGCAAGACCAAAGAGGGGGACCUUCGGGCCUCUUGCCAUCGGAUGUGCCCAGAUGGGAUUAGCUAGUAGGUGGGGUAACGGCUCACCUAGGCGACGAUCCCUAGCUGGUCUGGGAGGAUGACCAGCCACACUGGAACCGAGACACGGUCCAGACUCCUACGGGAGGCAGCAGUGGGGAAUAUUGCACAAUGGGCGCAAGCCUGAUGCAGCCAUGCCGCGUGUAUGAAGAAGGCCUUCGGGUUGUAAAGUACUUUCAGCGGGGAGGAAGGGAGUAAAGUUAAUACCUUUGCUCAUUGACGUUACCCGCAGAAGAAGCACCGGCUAACUACGUGCCAGCAGCCGCGGUAA